rnacentral:lncRNA from 1 species
CUUCUAAUUGUGUGUGAAGUGCUCUACAGCUGUUUGAGAAAUCAAGGAAUCAUCCUGGCAGUAUCAGUCUCCAACAAUGCAUGUGUGGAUUGGUGCUUAAGUUUCCUUGAUUCAAUGACUAUGCAUAUUUUCUUAAUGUUCCUUCACCUUUAGUAGGAGCAAAUUUUUUUCAGCUAACAUUACAACAAGUCAGCUGUCCUUACUAUUCAGUGUUUUCAUGCAUUAAGCGUGAUAGUGCUUCGAUUGAGAAUAAUAUUAAUAUAGUAGCCUAGAACAGCAGAAGCACAUUCAUCUGUAAAAUAAUUAGCCUUGUUUGUAAAUAUCCUUGGAAGUGAUACCAUAAUUGUAUUAAAGAAAUGUUUAGUUUUUUAUUGCUGUGCAUUGAAAAUUGAAAUUACUUCAGUGUGUCUGCAAAGAAAGAAAAUGUAGAUUGUGUUAGCACCUAGUAAAACAAAGAGUAACCUUGAUACCCAGCGUGUGUGUAGUUUGGGGCCAGGUACUGUACCUGGGGCAGCAUUUAUCUUCUUCCCAGUGCUGAUGGGGUUUGCGAGGAACAGAACAUCAAUUUCCAAUAUGAGCUGAACAGGUUUGUUCAUGGGGGUAGGGAAAACAUUUUAAGUGGAAGCUGCAAGUCCUUGUCCAGGCAGUCCUGACCAGUUCAUCAGCGAGGAAGUGUUCGAUUCAGAAGUUCAUCUGACUAUGGAAAAAGGCAGUAGACACUCAGUAUACCAUUGCCAGUUUAUUUAACCUGAUUUAUGACUGCUGGGAGAAUGGAAUUUUAAAGCCAAUGAUGUCAGCUUUGUCUGCAUGCCAGUGGAGAUCCUUUAGCACAAAGCUUUCACUUCUCACCCUGACCCAUUCACAACAGCUAGCAGCGGAGACUUCCUUCAGGAAACCUUUUAUCUGUCUUGGACUCAUGACUUGCAGUUCUGGGAAUGUGGAGGUUAGUCCCGUUCCUGUUGGAGUACUCUAACAACCUGCAGGGCUGCAGCAGCACCUUGAUGCAUUAUCCUUUACCUUGUCCUAAUGAAAACCCUUGCUUCCAUCCCACACGGGGAAGGUGAGUAGGUGAGGAAGGUAUGAGCACCUGCUGCCAGAUCCUUGUGCUAUUUUGCCAUUAACAAGAGCUGCCUUCUCAAACUAAUACAUAGUGGAGCUAUCCAGUAUUAAGGGCCAGUCUGUUUUGAGACACCAAGUGAAGUAUUCAAAGAAUAAGUCCCACAAAAUCAGACAGAUUAUCUCACUAAGUUUUUGUUUGGGAUAUCUUGCAAACCUUAGAGCAAGUGAAUAGUUGAAAGCUCUCUCAACUGCUUCACCAUUUAGUAGUAAACACUGUGGCUGCUCAUGGUGCUUCAUCUCCAGAAGAAUAACGCUCCAGCAGAGAGACUAAGUGGUUCUUGAUGCACUGCUGCUUUUUUUUUUUUUUUUUUUUUUUUUUAAAAAGGAUUGUGGUACUUGCUCUUGCAUCUGAGAAUUAAUAGCCAGAGAAUUAAUAGCUUCUGUGUCUGAAGCUAAGGCAUCGUUGUCCUUGAUAAGUAGCUUCUGAUAGCAUUUAAGAUUUGCUACUCAUGCUGAUAACAACAGUUAAUCCCUCCUCCACUGGGAUGAAGAAAUCCAGGCUAAUCCAGGUUUGAUGGAUAAGCAGAACAGCUCUGGCCUGUACAGCUUCUUGGUGCCUUGGUGCUAGAUGCCAUUGUCUGAACUAAGGUGAAAGUUUCGGCUCAUGAGGACUCUGUUUGGGCCUCCAAACUGCACCUCCUGCUCUGGAAUUGGUGACAGUGGAACUCAUUGCUGCCUUUUAGCUUAAUUCAGCUAUGGGUUGGGGACUUAAUCAAUCGAUCAUCCUUUCCUUUUUUAUGAUCCCCCAUCCUAUUAAUCCUAUUGUAUAUUUCUAGAGAGGAAAUAUUAUGGUUGCUAAUGCAUACAUACAGGCAAUAAAUAUUUCCCUGAUUUUCUUAUACUUACCAGGUUUUCCACUAGCUAAUGUAUCAUCAGUGAUUACGCACAGCAUAACACUAUUUAUUCUAUCCUUAUUAAGGGUUUCUUGACAUAAAAGAACUGAACGCAAACAUUUAUAGUCCUAGUUAAAGGCUAACAAAUCACACUUGUGCUGUUAUGCCCUAAACUAACAUUUACAGGAGACUUGUUUGUACAAGUUUAAUUUCUCAAAUACAGAGCCCGCCCUUUAUGACCCAGGCAGUUUGUGAAGCAGUGGGCAGCCUUGCAGGCACAGCUGCUGGACUCUCAGUUGCCACUUACAGGUACGGCCUCAGAGAGAGAAUGAGGAAGAGAGCCUAACCCCGCUCCUCAGAGCCCUCACCGCGGAGCAGGUUGGGGUUAAUCACUGAAGCCGUUGCUCUUUUGCCAACAUCUAAACUUUGUGCGUGAGACAGAUGUGCAAGGCCAGUUAGAUGUGCCUACCAGUAGAUUAUCUUCAGGACAGUGGCUGCGGGAAGAGGAAGGUACCUCUUCAUUCUCUCUUGUCUGCCUUUCUGCUGAGUGGAGCUGUAGGUAUGUCAGUGAGAGGCCACCAGGUGCCUGCUUCCUACUGUCAGUCAUGGUAAAGUGCUUGCUGGCUUUUUACAAUCUAAUUCAUGCUGGUUUUUCAAUUCUUUCUGGCAGUCACCUUGUAAGUGUGUAGUUAGUAGCAGUCCAAUACUUAACAAUAUAAUAAACUUCAAAAUUUGUUACCGCAGAGCACUAGUUCAUAUUUUUGCAGCUGGAAGUAAGGGUAACAGCAGUCUUAGCCUCAAAGUGUUGGUAGUCAUGGCAAAAGUCAGAUUUAUAGUAAGCAUCUAAAUUAUCUGGAAGAAGGUGUUUAUGAGUUCUCAGUGAAUAAAGGUGAAAUGCUCUGAGUAGUUACCAAUCCUAUGUCUGUCCUCAUCCUCCUUUUGUAUUCCCUUUUGAAGCUUUCUGUAUCAUCAGGCCUGUAAACGCACAAAUUAUGCUGGUUAUACUCCAGACUUGCAUCGAAGUGUGUAGGGUUUAUUC